CGGGCUGGAGUGCGGUAGGGGAGACUGGAAUUCCCGGUGUAACGGUGGAAUGUGUAGAUAUCGGGAAGAACACCAAUGGCGAAGGCAGGUCUCUGGGCCGUUACUGACGCUGAGGAGCGAAAGCGUGGGGAGCGAACAGGAUUAGAUACCCUGGUAGUCCACGCCGUAAACGGUGGAUGCUGGAUGUGGGGCCCUUCCACGGGUCCCGUGUCGGAGCCAACGCGUUAAGCAUCCCGCCUGGGGAGUACGGCCGCAAGGCUAAAACUCAAAGAAAUUGACGGGGGCCCGCACAAGCGGCGGAGCAUGCGGAUUAAUUCGAUGCAACGCGAAGAACCUUACCUGGGCUUGACAUGUUCCCGACGACCGUGGAGACACGGUUUCCCUUCGGGGCGGGUUCACAGGUGGUGCAUGGUCGUCGUCAGCUCGUGUCGUGAGAUGUUGGGUCAAGUCCCGCAACGAGCGCAACCCUCGCCCCGUGUUGCCAGCGCGUCAUGGCGGGAACUCACGGGGGACCGCCGGGGUUAACCCGGAGGAAGGUGGGGAUGACGUCAGAUCAUCAUGCCCCUUACGUCCAGGGCUUCACGCAUGCUACAAUGGCCGGUACAACGGGAUGCGACAUGGUGACAUGGAGCGGAUCCCUGAAAACCGGUCUCAGUUCGGAUCGGAGCCUGCAACCCGGCUCCGUGAAGGCGGAGUCGCUAGUAAUCGCGGAUCAGCAACGCCGCGGUGAAUGCGUUCCCGGGCCUUGUACACACCGCCCGUCAAGUCAUGAAAGUGGGCAGCACCCGAAGCCGGUGGCCUGACCAGUUCUGCUGGGGGGAGCCGUCUAAGGUGAGGCUCGUGAUUGGGACUAAGUCGUACAGGGUAACCCA
rnacentral:rRNA from 1 species